UCAUUUCAGCUGCAUAUGUAUGUAUUAAAGUUGGAAUGUACAGAGAAGAUUAGCAUGGUCCCCUGAGCAAGGAUGACAAGCAAAUUCAUGAAGUGUUCCAUAUUUUU